UUAUUGUGCGAGCAAACGUUGGCUCCCGAACCGAGUCAGGACAGGAAUGUAGCAGCUCUAAGGAUGAUUAGCGUUGUGCUUGUGUACAUAUGCAA
rnacentral:SRP_RNA from 2 species